rnacentral:rRNA from 1 species
GGAAACGACUGCUAAUACCCAAUAUGCCGCAAGGUGAAAGAUUUAUCGCCUUGAGAAAAGCUCGCGUCUGAUUAGCUAGUUGGUGGGGUAAAGGCCCACCAAGGCGUCGAUCAGUAGCUGGUCUGAGAGGAUGAGCAGCCACACUGGGACUGAGACACGGCCCAGACUCCUACGGGAGGCAGCAGUGGGGAAUUUUCCGCAAUGGGCGAAAGCCUGACGGAGCAAUACCGCGUGAGGGAGGAAGGCUCUUGGGUUGUAAACCUCUUUUCUCAGGGAAGAAGUUCUGACGGUACCUGAGGAAUAAGCAUCGGCUAACUCCGUGCCAGCAGCCGCGGUAAUACGGAGGAUGCAAGCGUUAUCCGGAAUUAUUGGGCGUAAAGCGUCCGCAGGUGGUUUGUCAAGUCUGCUGUUAAAGACUGGAGCUUAACUCCGGAAAGGCAGUGGAAACUGAAAAACUAGAGUUCGGUAGGGGUAGCGGGAAUUCCCAGUGUAGCGGUGAAAUGCGUAGAGAUUGGGAAGAACAUCGGUGGCGAAAGCGCGCUACUGGACCGAGACUGACACUCAGGGACGAAAGCUAGGGGAGCGAAAGGGAUUAGAUACCC